rnacentral:rRNA from 1 species
GCCCAAGAGAUCGGGAUAACACCUGGAAACAGAUGCUAAUACCGGAUAACAACAGAUGAUGCCUAUCAACUGUUUAAAAGAUGGUUCUGCUAUCACUCUUGGAUGGACCUGCGGUGCAUUAGCUAGUUGGUAGGGUAACGGCCUACCAAGGCGAUGAUGCAUAGCCGAGUUGAGAGACUGAUCGGCCACAUUGGGACUGAGACACGGCCCAAACUCCUACGGGGAGGCAGCAGAU